GAGGUCUCUGUCUUGUUUACAUGCCAUCGUCUAGAAGUUGUCUCGGAAAAAUUUUAAGCGAAUGUUGCAAUGAACAGAGUUCCUUUUGUUGCUGUGAUUUGUCAUUGGUCGAAGAGGACUAACUGCAGCGUUUGUCUACCUACAAUACUUGUUUCUUUGUUGUUGCUGUCUUGUAGUGCCAGCAGCGAUGCCUCCUUGUUCGUGCUCGGCAAGUCGGCCGGUGUGAGCAAAAUCCGUACGUCAUCGUCUCCAGUGGUGCCAUUCUCCGUGGCUCUGCACACGGUCGGGGACUCGGCGGCCUUGCUGGAUCAUUUGUGCCGCCAAACGGGUUUACCUGCUCCGCCUCCGCCCAGCCAGCGCCGCCGCCGCUGCCGCUAGCGCUCCCCUCAGGUAAGGAAGGAGGCAGGCGAGGAUGUCGCACCGUAAAUUCGAGCACCCGAGGCACGGUUCCCUUGGCUUCCUCCCCAGGAAGCGAUCCUCUCCCGCCACCGCGGAAAGGUGAAGUCCUUCCCGAGGGAUGACCCAAAGAAGCCCUGUCACCUCACCGCCUUCCUUGGCUACAAGGCUGGAAUGACACACAUUGUGGUGAGGUCGAGAAGCCUGGCUCCAAGCUCCACAAGAAGGAAACUUGUGAGGCUGUGACUAUCAUUGAGACUCCUCCCCUUGUCAUUGUCGGACUUGUGGAAUGUGAAGACCCCCCGUGGCCUACGAACCCUCAACUCUGUCUGGGCCCAACACCUUAGCGAAGAAGUGCGGAGAAGGUUCUACAAGAACUGGUGCAAGAGCAAGAAGAAGGCUUUCUCCAAGUAUGCCCUCAAAUACGACAGCGACGCAGGCAAGAAAGAAAUCCAGUUGCAGCUUGAGAAAGUAUGCUUCAGUUAUCCGUGUUAUUGCCCACACUCAGAUUAGAAAGAUGAAGGGUUUGAAGCAGAAGAAGGCUCACCUCAUGGAGAUCCAGGUCAACGGUGGCACUAUAGCAGACAAGGUGGACUAUGGUUACAAGUUCUUUGAGGAGGUCCCUGUUGAUGCUGUGUUCCAGAAGGACGAGAUGAUCGACAUCAUCGGAGUUACCAAGGGCAAGGGUUAUGAAGGCGUGGUCACUCGCUGGGGUGUUACCCGGCUUCCCCGCAAGACCCACAGGGGCCUCCGCAAGGUUGCCUGUAUCGGUGCAUGGCAUCCUGCUAGGGUGUCGUACACUGUUGCUCGUGCUGGUCAGAACGGAUACCAUCACCGCACUGAGAUGAACAAGAAGGUUUACAAGAUUGGCAAGGCCGGACAGGAAAGCCAUGACGCCUCAACUGAGUUUGACAGGACCGAGAAGGACAUCACUCCCAUGGGUGGUUUCCCCCACUACGGUAUCAUCAAGGGCGACUACCUGAUGAUCAAGGGUUGCUGCGUCGGCCCCAAGAAAAGGGUGGUGACUCUCCGCCAGUCUCUGCUGAAGCAGACGUCUCGGUUGGCCCUGGAGGAGAUCAAGCUCAAGUUCAUCGACACCUCGUCCAAGUUUGGACAUGGGCGCUUCCAGACCACAGACGAGAAGCAGAGGUUCUUUGGCAAGCUCAAGGCCUGAGUUGCUGAUGGUGUCAAGCGAAAUGGAAAUGUAUUACCAGAUAGUUUUUUGUUUUUCAGAUUCAGCUUUGUUGGAGAUAUCAUAAGAACAUGUUUGAUUUGCUAGUCUGAGUUGAUUCUAUUGCGGGCGGCUGAAGUUAUAUUACCUAAUGAACUCGAAAGUCAGCUUGCUAGUUGCGUGACUUU